CUCCAAACAAAAUAAGAUUAAUCGAUCAUCAAGCAGAGGUGGGUCAGUCCAUACGUCUGGUCGUAUAGCUCACCAUGAUGUUGCACUUGAAUUGGCUAAAAAACUCAAGCGACCCGCACAUCCGGAUGAGCUCUUCAUUGCCACCCACAAAAAGAAGAAUGGGGAGUGGGUUGACGAGCGUGCAGCGAAAACACAUGAAACAUACGCGAGUAGUGUUACACAAGCC